GGGCUUCUUCUCCCUUGAGGAAUAAUGAAUUAGGGUUGAGAGGCUCUCUCCUCCAGGGGCCUGGGGGUCUGGUUUUAUAGUCCCUUCAAGUGAAUAUGGGCCGUUGGAUCAAACCGACAUUGAUUGAACGGUUAUCCUUGAUCCUUUAGGUCGGUGGAGAUUGAUCCCGAAAGAGAGUCCUGUUUGGACUCUAGAGGUGGGUGGGCGCCCAGGUCAACUGGGCGGGCGCCCAGUGCUUGGCCCCGUUCGGCCUCCGCUUCCUUCCCAUGGCUUCUGGAGUCUUCUAGAUGUAAGAUAAUUGCGCGACACGUUGAUAUCUCUAUGUAAUCCCGACGUGUGGGCCUUUCUUCCGUAUUUCCUGAUAACCCCCUGCAGAAAUAGACAAACACCAAAACUCAUGGAAUUCUGUCAGAUAAAACCCUAAGUCUAGAUGUUGAUUUCAUUUGGAUCCUUUUCUUUGUUUAUUUGAUAAUUAAAUUUGAUACUUAAGGACCGUCAACAAACUCCCCCAAGCUUACCUCUUGCUCGUCCCUGAGCAAGGAUAGAUUAGAAGUUGCUGCAAUACUUUUAAAAAUUGGCGGUACACAUGCUUUUAAAUAAGGUCUCAUCUCUGAGUUAGAGUAAACUGUCAAGACUUAAAACUUACUUACUUUACCUUUCACCAUGGGACUUGUUACCGUCACUUCUGUCUUGAGUAGUUAAAAGAUAAAACAGUCUAGUCAAGUGCCAUGUCUCUUAUUCUUGACCAGCUAUAGCUCUGGAGUUUUUGCAGAUUUUCAAAUAAAACUUAGAGAUUCCUUGUAUGACUCUCUUAAAUCUCUCCUUUGUGGUAUUUGUGGAUUCUUACCAAGGCAGUGAUGGUAUAUGCCUUCUCUCAAGAAUAUGUGGUAUUUGUGGUAUAAGGCAUAGUGAUAUUGCCUUCUCUCUCACCCUACUCUAAUAAGGCUUUAAUAUCUGGAGCUCAUAGGUGGGAGAUAAAAUAUACAUACUUACAAGACAUUUAUUGCAUAGUCAAACCAUGGAUCCAAAGAACAAGUCAAUAAGUCAAAUCAAGAUGUGCAUGUGUGGCGAAUGAAUGGUGUAUGAUGGUGGUGAUGAUAACAAUGGUGAAAGCCUAAUUCUACUUUUGCUCUUUGAGGGGAUACAUACCAUCCUUGCUUUUUGAAAUGUUGUGAGGAGAAUGAGAUGCUCUUCUUUUCUUUUUCUUUUUCUUUCCUCUCAGGUGGGUAUCUUGUACCUCUAAUUCUACUGUCGGACACUUGUCUAUUUUUACCUCUCGUUUCACUUUUUCUUUUCUUUCGAGGUUCCGGGCACUUGCCCCUUUUUAUUUCCUCGUAUAAUUUUUUCUCUCUCUUUUUUUAUUAGAGCACUCAUCUCUUGAGAUAAUAUAGCAAGUGGUAGUAAUAAGAUAACUUGAGCAUUUAUUUCACAGGGGAAAAAUAGAAAUGUUUUUGGCUAUUCUAUCAUGGAUUAGGAGUAGAAUAUUUUUGGGUGAUUCUGGAGAUGGAAAUGGGUGGAUAUAUGUGGAUGGUAUUUCUGGAAUAGAAGCAGCAUAUGUGAGUGAACGUGCAAGUGAAUCUUGAUUUAACCACAUGACAAGCUCCUAAGGGUCUACACAGCUUGACCACACUCAAUGCUCAUAAGCAGUAAAUAGUAAAUGUGUGGCUCAAAGUCUAGCAAGCAUGUAUAUAUGGUUGUGGUAGGAAUAUUAAACUCUCAUCAUACAGGAACUCAUCAUGCAAUAUUUUAAAUAAUUUCAAAGAUAAAAUUCUCCAGAAUUCUAGCAUCUCUAGGAACAGAUAAACAACAGCUCAACUUUCCCAUAUCAUAUGCGUUAACAACUUAGACUUCACAUCAAGUUUUCAUCCCACAAGUUUAGGUUUGGAGCAAGCUUUAAAUUAUAACAGUUAUGUCUAAACUUGAGAGAGAACUGCAAAUUUUAAUAUUAGGCAGAGCAACUAUUCAUUAUAUCCAUGCUAGAGUUUAUUAUUAAGAUUCAGAUUAGCAUAGCCACUUUAUUUAUUUAUUGAACUAAGCAAAAGACAUAUAUAUAUAUAAGCAUAAAAUCUUUAUUUGGUUUUUCAUAGUUAUGUAUAUUCAUAUUUUAAUAUAAUAUAAGUAUAAAGAUAGAUAGAAAUACUUAUCGGGAUAAAUGGGGGUGCUCUCCCCCAAGCUGAAUUUUGACGUAAUUUCUCUUGAUGUAGCUAGCAGGUGGCAGAGGUGUAUUUGAAAGUCAGCAGCGUUCUGACAGCGAUUAGAAUGUCCUCCGUCUGCUAGUCUUCUUAAUUCUUAAAUUCUGUGGAGCUCAAAUAGACAACAAAGCUUGUGGAACUGAUUAAGUGUUAGCAUAAAUAUCUAGCCUUCAUCAUGUUGAGACUCCUCAAUAAAUGUUACUCCCUGUUUUUGUAUUUUUAUUUUAUAAAGUAGAAAAGAAAUAUUUAUUUUAUUUUUAUGCCACCACAGUGAAUGUACUUAUGGGUUUUAUGCCACUCGUAUACUCACAUGGGGCUUACUGUUUUUUAACAUUUUUAUUUUCUUUUUAGGAUAGUAUGAUUAUAACUAAUUAAGUACAUUAACUGAAAGGGAAAGGAUAACUACCAAGUUUACCUCUUGGCAAGGCGUUCGGUGUUUUUAAGUCCUCCGAACGGGACUCUCCAUUUUCUCAGUUGUCCUGGGAUUCGUUGGGUGGCGGAGUCGGUACUUCCGGCGGUGCCUCCUCUUCGUGUAUGGUUAUCUUCUCUCUCCACACCUGACUCGGUGCUUCGGUCUCCUCCGGAUAGUUCUGUUUAAACACUGUAUGUCUUCUAACCUUACUACUUCUCCUUCGUAGUCUGCCCAUCCGUCCUUGAUGAUUUGCCUCCUCUGGUUGCGGUUGCGUCGUUUUCUGACCUGCUUAGAUUCUUCAACGAUAUAGUUAGGGUCAGUAAAAUAGCGGCGUACCUUCUCUGAGGGGAAGUGCAUAUGGACUUCUCCAGUUCCAAUGUAGAUGAUUGCUUUAACGGUGCUGAGAAAUGGUCUUCCAAGGAUGAUGGGUGGAUCGUACUCGUCUUCUCCCAUGUCAAUAACCUGAAAGUCUGUGUAAACAAAAUGAUCGUCUAUUUUGACUGGGACAUCAGUUACUGUUCCUUUAACUUCUCGAAAUGUCUGAUCUACCAUCUGGAGCUGAAUGUAUGUUGGUUUUAGGGGCAUGGUUCCGAACAAGAGCCGAUAGGUGACUGCGGCCAUUAUGUUGACGCCCGAUCCGGUGUCGCAAGUCGUCUUGUAGAAGUUGUAUCCAUUUAUGGAGCAAUAGAUGCUUGGCAUUCCUGGGUCAUCCUUCUUAGUCAGAAACGGUGACUUAAGUUGGUGAUCUUGACCUCCAUGAACUGCAGUGACCAUCUUAGCUGACUCGGUCCACACUUGCUUGUUCCUCUUCCUCCUGUUGGUCCUCUUCCUUGAUUCACGUCUGGAUUGAUCUGGGAUUUGUAUAGUCUUGUUCUUGAAGAAAAACGUCUCCUUCCUCCCUUUGAUGUAGAAACUGAUCUUGGCAGCACUAGCGUAGAUGACAGCUCUCGAGGUGUUCAAGAAUGGCCUCUCUAAGAUGAUGGGUGCUCUCUCAUCAUUACCGGUCUCUAUCACCACGAAGUCUGCUAGGGCAUAUAAGGUACCAACUCGGACACAAAGGUUCUUCAAUAUUCCCUUGGGGCAACUUAUUAUCUAAUCUGCAAACUGCAAACACAUGGUUGUCUCUAAUAAAGGAUAUGUAAAGAAUUUUUCAUAGAGUACCCUGGGUAUAAUAUUGACGCUGGAGCCAAAGUCACAGUGCUUUUGGGACAUCCACCAUGCCGAUGGAGAUCGGGAUGACGGGGCGUCCUGGAUCGCCUCUCUUGACCGGCAGAAGGUCAGUAGUAACUUCAGUGACGGGGUUACUCCAGUUAUUACCUGCAUCAAACAUGUCUAUAAGAUUUGCAGAUUCUAAUACUUCUGGUUGUGAUGGUAUACCGGGGUUAGUAGCAGUAACAGCAGCAGCUAUUUGAUUUAACUGAGAUUCAAUCAUUUUAUUAAAGCUAAUUUGAUUCUUGAUGGCAGUAGAGAAAUUAUCCAUUCUAUUAUUUAUAUUUUCUAGCAUUUUAUCAUUAGAUGCCAAUUUCUUAGAUAGGUUAUCCAUUAGCUUUCCUUGAUUAGACACUAACUCUCUCAGAGGUGGAAAAUUAUUAUUAUUAAUAUUAUUAUUAUUAUUGUAAGAAUUGUUACCUUGAUAAUUACCUGAGUAGUUAGGCCUCUCUUGAUUCCAACCUUGAUUUUGUUGAGGACGGUUGUAGUAGUAGUUGUUGUUGUUGUUGAUGUAGUUCACAUCCUCAAGUAUCUCAGGGCAGUGAUUGCCUGAGUGUCCAGUGUCUCCACACUCCUCACAAGUCAUGUGAGAGCCGUAGAUGUGCAUAACUUCCUUCUUGUCUCCAGCUCUAUCAUCGAGCUUCUUCAUGAGCAGGUCUAGCUUUGCAGACAGCAUGUCCACCUCCAUCAGCUGAUGCAGACCACCACCUCUAUUGCGUGUCUGGGUCCUCUUUUCAUUCCUGCCUUGGUUGGACGCCAUCUUCUCCACAAGUGCUGUGGCUUGUGGUAUAGUAAGUGACAAGAAUGCUCCUCCACCUGCAGCAUCCAUGGUCUCUCGGGCACUGUUGCCAAGCCCAUGAUAAAACAUCUGCAUUAGUAGCCAGCUCUCCAUUCCGUGAUGGGGACAUUCUAGGAUGUAGUCUUAGAAGCGCUCCCAUGCUUCUGGAACGGAUUUAUCAUGUUGUUGUUGAAAACUUGUAAUCUUUCCACGGAGAGCAUUGGUCUUGCCCAUGGGAAAGAACUUAGCUAGAAAGUUCGUGGAGCAGAGUGCCCACGUAGUAUUCUUCUCCUUUGUAGCGUAAAACCACUGCUUCGCUCUCCCUAACAGUGAGAAUGGGAAGAGGCGAAGUAGUAUAGCAUCUCUAGGGACUCCUGAUAUGGUAAAUGUGCUACAAAUCUCCAGAAAGUGUUGGAGAUGAGCACUAGCAUCUUCGUGUGCCUUCCCACAGAACUGGUUGGAUUGCACCAUAUUGAUAAGUCCAGGCUUGAGCUCAAAGUUGCCGUCGAUCUCUGCAGCAGGUGCAGUGCGGAUGUUGUCUAUAGUGGGAGCUGAGAACUCGCGGAUCGAUUUGUUCGCCAUGGCUUCGAACUCUGAAGACAAGUUCCGGUGAUCUUCUUGAUUGGAUGAAACUUCUUGCUGAAGUGUUGAUGAUCUCUUCUUGAGCUUGGCUCUUGUUUUUCUGAAUAAGGCUUCGGGAUUGUCAACAAAAUUUUCUGGAAGAUGUCUUCUAUUCAUACAUUCCCCUGCAUAAGAUAAAAAUAGAAAAAUAUCGGGGUAAAACUGUAUGAGAGAAUGGAUAAGCUCAAUCAUAUUAGUGAUGCGAAUGAUAACUCAAAAAUCUAUAUCCAUUCCUGAUUAGUAAUCAACCUUCCCCGGCAACGGCGCCAAAAAUGCUUGUUGGGUAUUCUUAACAUCAUUACCAAAAGUAGACUUAGUUUUCUAAUUCUAGUAACGGUGCCAAAAAUGCCAAACUUAUCCCUCAUACCACUUAAGCCAAGUUGUCAUCCCGAGCAUGACAUGAGAGACGCGGUAUUGAAAUAUGCAAGCGCACAGAUUAAUACCGAUGUAGCAUUUUAACCGGGAAGUAUUCCAGGUAUCGUUAUUUAUAUUUUUACCACUGGGAAGGGAUUAGCAAUCAUCAAUAUUGAUUACAGAAUAGAAUAUGAGAUUGAGUAUCUUUCAUUGCAUGUAUAAUUGAGAACAUUUAUCUAACUCUUUCAUACAGGGGUAAGUGUCACAUAAAAGAUAUUGAAGUAAUAAAUAGUGACAAAGAUAAUUAAUCUGAUCAGCAUAACUUAGCCACAUAAUAAAUAUGAUAAGCACCUCAAUUAGAUAUUCUAGAAAGUCAUUAGCAUGGAAUUAGAACGAACUACAAGAAUAUUUCCUAAGUUGUUCUCAACUAUAUAGUCUAGCAUUAUCAUAGUUAGUGCAAGCAUACUUAGCAAUCAUUGUGAGACAAGACUACGCCCAUGCAUAGUGAUAUUAUCAAGGUAAAUGAGAAACAUAGCAAUCACACCCCUGUAAUAAUGUUGCUCUGCUAGCCCAAUACACGAGAGGGGGACUAUAUAAGAAUCAAUGAAGCUGUCACUAUCACGAACUACCCCACGAUCUGGCAUAUUGGGUACAAUCGCAGAUAAAUACGGUAUAAGCACCACGCCUACACAAUAUCUAUCAUUUACCCAUGGAUCCGAUGGAUACACGCUAUACGAUCCUAAACAUGUAUAUAGAUUCAAUCUAACUAAGCCAAGUACAUAACUAUGAUAAACUAAGAAUAAUAUAAUCUUGAAUAUAAGCAAGUAGAGCAAAGUCAUAAGCAAUAUAUUGAAGUAGAACAAAGUCAUAUUCAUAAUAUUGAAGAGCAAAGAUAAUUAGAAAAACAAUUAGAAGCACAAUUAGAGAAUUACCAAGAAUCCUCUUAAUAGAUCUGGAAACCAAUCGAAGAUUGACUCCUUAUAGUUCUAAUCCUAUGUAGCUAUGCUAAUCUAGAUGUCUAAUUGAUGUGGUGGCUCUAAUCUUGAUCAGGGGCUUCUUCUCCCUUGAGGAAUAAUGAAUUAGGGUUGAGAGGCUCUCUCCUCCAGGGGCCAGGGGGUCUGGUUUUAUAGUCCCUUCAAGUGAAUAUGGGCCGUUGGAUCAAACCGACAUUGAUUGAACGGUUAUCCUUGAUCCUUUAGGUCGGUGGAGAUUGAUCCCGAAAGAGAGUCAUGUUUGGACUCUAGAGGUGGGCGGGCGCCUAGGUCAACUGGGUGGGCGCCCAGUGCCUGGCCCCGUUCGGCCUCCGCUUCCUUCCCGUGGCUUCUGGAGUCUUCUAGAUGUAAGAUAAUUGUGCGGCUGUUGACACUUGCUAACACCACUUGAAUACUAGGUUGUAAUCCCCAGCAUGGUACUAGAGUGUACUAUGGUAUUUAUACGCACACAGAUAAUCCGCAAGCGCACGGAUACCGUUGAAGCUUUUACCCGGUUAAAGGUUUUAUCGUAUCCACAGGGAAACGGGAGAACCAACUACGCUCUAACUUAACCAAGAUAGAUAGAUAAGUGUAAAUAGGAAAGAUGAUAGAAUCAAAUAAGAACAAUAUUAAAGGUAAGAUAACAAUGGGUGAUAAUAUGGGAAUAGAGAGUAGAGCAAUCUAGUAUAUGGGCGAUGGUAGCAGAAUAGAGAGGAUAACUAUGGUUUCUCUACUUCAAAGGGGUAUGUCUAUGUCUGGGACGAACCACGAGAUAAGAUUACACCACAAAGGAUGCUUAUCCAUAGGCCGAUAAACCCUACCCGUCCUGCUAACGAGAGGUGGACUACAGAGGACCAACGUAACUGUCACCUACGCGGCCUACCACACGAUCCAGCUAGUCAGGGGAUAUCCACAAGUAAUCUAGGUUUAAGCACCACGCUUACACCUAUACUACAACUCUAACCUAUAGCGUCCUAUAGAUUAGAAGUACUCAAAAGAGUUGUGAAGCAGAACAUACAUAAUUAGUAAUUGCAUAAUGAAUUAGAAGUAGAUUAUCAGAGUCAUCCCAUGAGCAAGCUUGAUUAGAGAUUGAUCAUGACGAAGUACAACCGGAGGAAGAACCGACAGGCCGGCCUCUCCUCUAAUCCUCCUUCGCUCUCCAUCUUGCUACUAUCUAGAUCUACUCUAGUUUAGAGAAGAGAGGAGAGCUCUCAUCUCUAAACCCUAGCUUUUGCUCUGUCUAUGAAUAAUGAAUAAUGAUCAAGGGGUGCCUCCUCCAAGGGCCAAGGGGUCUGGUUAUAUAGUCCCCUCAAGUGAACCUGGGCCGUCGGAUCAAACCGACAUAGAUUGUAUGGUUUAGAUUCAUCCUUUAGGUCGGUGGAGAUCUCCCGCAAAGCAGAGUCCUGAUUGGACUCAGAGAGGGGGCGGGCGCCCAGUAGGACAGGGCGGGCGCCCUGUCUCUGGCCCCGUUUCGCCUCCGCUUCGGUCUCGUGGCUUCUGGAGUCUUCUAGAUGUAAGAUAAUUGCGCAGCACGUUAAUAUCUUUACGUAAUCUCGACAUGUGGGCCUUUCUUCCAUAUUUCCUGAUAACCCCCUGCAGAAAUAGACAAACACCAAAACUCGUGGAAUUCUGUCAGAUAAAACCCUAAGUCUAGAUGUUGAUUUCAUUUGGAUCCUUUUCUUUAUUUAUUUGAUAAUUAAAUUUGAUACUUAAGGACCGUCAACAAACUCCCCCAAGCUUACCUCUUGCUCGUCCCUGAGCAAGGAUAGACUCAGCAAUGGAUCAGAAGUUGUUGCAAUAUCUUAAAAAUUUGACGGUACACAUGCUUUUUUAAAUGAGGUCUUAUCUCUGAGUUAGAGUAAACUGUCAAGACUUUAAAACUUACUUACUUUACCUUUCACCAUGGGACUUGUAACCGUCACUUCUGUCUUGAGUAGUUAAAAGAUAGAACAGUCUAGCCAAGUGCCAUGUCUCUUAUUCUUGAUCAGCUAUAGCUCUGGAGUUUUUGCAUAUUUUCAAAUAAAACUCAGAGAUUCCUUGUAUGACUCUCUAAAUCUCUCUUUUGUGGUAUUUCUGGAUCCUUACCAAGGCAGUGAUGAUAUAUGCCUUCUCUCAAAGUAUGUAGUAUUUGUGGUAUGAGGCAUAGUGAUAUUGCCUUCUCUCUCACCCUACUCUAAUAAGGUUUUAAUAUCUGGAGCUCAUAGGUGGGAGAUAAAGUAUACAUACUUACAAGACAUUUAUUGUAUAGUCAAACCAUGGAUCCAAAGAAACAAAUCAAUAAGCUAAAUCAAGAUGUGCAUGUGUGGCGAAUGAAUGGUGUAUGGUGAUGAUGGUGAUAACAAUGGUGAAAGUCUAAUUCUACUUUUGCUCUUUUGAGGGGAUACAUACCUUCCUUGCUUUUUGGAACUUUAUGAGGAGAAUGAGAUGCUCUUCUUUUUCAUUUUUCUUUCCUCUCAGGUGGGUAUCCUGUACCCCUAAUUCUACUGUCGGACACUUGUCCAUUUUUACCUCUCGUCUCACUCUUUUUCUUUUCUUCCGAGGUUCCGGGCACUUGCCCCUUUUUAUUUCCUCGUUUAUUUUUUUUCUUUUCUCUUUUUUUUUCUUCUUUUUUUUUUCAGAGCACUCAUCUCUUAAGAUAAUAUAGCAAGUGGUAGUAGCAAGAUAACUUGAGCAUUUAUUUCACAAGGGAAAAACACAGAUGUUUUUGGCUAUUCUCUUCCGAAUUAGGAGUAGAAUAUUUUUAGGUGAUUCUGGAGAUGGAAAUGGAUGGAUAUAUGUGGAUGGUACUUCCAGAGUAGAAGUAGCAUAUAUAUGAGUGAACGUGCAAGUGAAUCUUGAUUUAACCACAUGACAAGCUCCUAAGGGUCUACACAGCUUGACCACACUCAAUGCUCAUAAGCAGUAAAUAAUAAAUGUGUGGCUCAAAGUCUAGCAAGCAUGUAUAUAUGGCUGUGGUAGGAAUUUAAACUUUCAUCAUACAGGAACUCAUCAUGCAACAUUUUAAAGAUUUUUCAAAGAUAAAAUUCUCCAGAAUUCUAGCAUCUCUAGGAACAGAUAAACAGCAGCUCAACCUUCCCAUAUCAUAUCCGUUAACAACUUAGAUUUCAGAUCAAGUUUUCAUCCCACAAGUUUAGAUCUAGAGCAAGCUUUAAAUUAUAACAGUUAUGUCUAAACUUGAGAGAGAACUUCAAAUUUGCAAAUUAGGCAGAGCAACUAUUUAUCAUAUCCAUGGUAGAGUUUUAUUAUUAAGAUUCAGAUUAGCAUAGUCAUUUUAUUUAUUUAUUAAACACACUAAGCAAAAGAUAUAUAUAUAAGCACAAAAUCUUUAUUUGGUUUUUUAUAGUUUAUGUAUUUUAAUAUUCUAAUAUAAUAUAAGUAUAAAGAUAGGUAGAAAUACUUAGCGAGAUAAAUGGGGGUGCUCUCCCCCAAGCUGAAUUUUGACGUAAUUUCUCUUGAUGUAGCUAGCAGGUGGCAGAGGUGUAUUUGAAAGUCAGCAGCAUUCUGACAGCGAUUAGACUGUCCUCCGUCUGCUAGUCUUCUUGAUUCUUAAAUUCUGUGGAGCUCAAAUAGACAACAAAGCUUGUGGAACUAAUUAAGUGUUAGCAUAAAUAUCUAGCCUUCAUCAUGUUGAGCUUCCUCAAUAAAUAUUACUCCCUGCUUUUAUAUUUUUAUUUUAUAAAGCAGAAAAGAAAUAUUUAUUUUAUUUUUAUGCCACCACAGUGAAGGUACUUAUGGGUUUUAUGCCACUCGUAUACUCACAUGGGGCUUAGUAUUUUUUAACAUUUUUAUUUUCUUUUCAAGGUAGCAUGAUUAACUAAUAAUCUAUUUAAGGAAAGUAAAUAAUUAAAGGGAAAAGGGAAUGCAGAAAGGAUAAAUAUGGAUAACUACCAAUCUUACCUUUUGGCGAGGGUUCAAUGUUUUAAGUCUUCUUGUCAAGACUUCUCAUCGUGUUCAUUCUUUCGGUGCGUCAUUUGAUUCAGGUGCGGACCUUGACGUCUGCACCUUUUAAUACGGUGUCACCCAUGUUUUUCGUUUGCCCAGCAGUUCGAAGUGCGGCGUUGGCAGUGUCCUGCUCAGUGUAUUUGUGCUCGUAGAUCCAGGUCCUUCACUUGGUAGAGUCUGAGAGUUAUAAAACUCCUCCGUGUUUUGCUCGAAGUGUAUCUGCUCAUAGAGACAAGGCAGAGAUCAAGUGUAUGGGUCCUGUUGGUGGAAAACACCAACAGAACCUAAAGUGUAUUUAUUCUUCUCUAACCCUAAGCAUAGUGAGCAAGACAAAGUUGAUGGAUGAAAAGUCAUGAGUGUAGCACUUAUAACAUUUGUCAGAUCAGAUCGCUCAACCUUAUGGAAAGAUAAUCUAUCUAAGUAUAUGUCUUUUUCUUUAUAUCUCUCAAUGAUUGAAUGUGUAACAUUUUAGAUCAUAUGAUUAGGAGUGUGGGAUCAUGGAGGUAGUACUAAGAACAAGGAUUAAAGGACUAAACAUGUUGAAUCAGUUGGGUUGGUUAAUCUAGAGUUGUAAAUCAUACACGUUUGUCUCUUUUAUUUAUAUGAACGCCAGAACCAAGGAGAAGCUUAUAAAAGAGAUAGUCAAGUACCUUAAGAUGUUACCUUGCUUCAAGAGUGACGGUACAGUAUCACCUUGUGGAAGCUUUCCUUUCUCAGCGGUUGUGCAUCGUGUUUGUGGC
rnacentral:lncRNA from 1 species